UACGUAGGGGCUAGCGUUGUCCGGAAUCAUUGGGCGUAAAGCGCGCGUAGGCGGCCCUGUUAGUCCGCUGUAAAAGUCAAAGGCUCAACCUUUGAAUGCCGGUGGAUACUGCAGGGCUAGAGUCCGGAAGAGGCGAGUGGAAUUCCUGGUGUAGCGGUGAAAUGCGUAGAUAUCUGGAGGAACACCGGUGGCGAAGGCGGCGUCCUGGACCAACACUGACACUGAGGAGCGAAAGCCAGGGGAGCA
rnacentral:rRNA from 1 species